rnacentral:lncRNA from 1 species
CUCCUUCAGAGCUAAAGGAACAGAAGAAGGCCAUGGAGCAGGAGCUGCAGGCAUCUGUGGGGCCUUCUUGUGUCUCUCCCAACCACAGGCAGCGGCCCUUGGGGUCCUCCACACAGGGCCUCAGACCCCCGCGUCCCCUCUGCGGGGUUGCACCUCUCCAGUGCUGCCUGCCUGCACCUCCUCUGGAGCCCUACCUUCGACCUCGAGGCCAGUCAGCUACCCACCGCUGGGGAUGGCAGCUUCAGUGCAGCCCCAGGGAAGGGCCAGCUUCCACACCCAUGUCCAGUGCAGCACCCCAAGCCCCAGCCUGAAGGGCUGGUCACCGAGUAGGCUCUGGCUUCUGCCACAGCGCACCUGUCUGCGC